ensembl:miRNA oni-mir-10649 oni-mir-10649
UGUUCGUCUCCUCCUGAAGGCCCGCAACACUACUUUUAGGUCAGGAGAUGCACACG